AGUAAGGACUAACGUUUACUGACUGUCUGUCUGUCUGUUCUAAACCAAAGUCAUUCAAGACCUUUUUAAGUUUAGCGCAAACGUUUCCUGCGCAAGUUUGAAUCUCUCUCAGUGAGGGGGGAGAUUGACUGACUGUCUACUCGCCACCAAACAGUCAUUUACCCAGAAACCUUUUAAAGUAAGGACUAACGUUAACUGACUGUCUGUCUGUCUGUCUGCUCUCAACCAAACAGUCAUUCAAGACCUUUUAAAGUUUAGCACAAAAGUUUCCAGCACAAGUUUGGAUCUUUACCAUUAAGGGUGGCUGACUGUUCUCGAUCAUCCAUCAUUCACACGCAAAAACUUUAAAGAUAAGUAUGAACGUGCCCAGAGCAGUUUUCGAUCUUUACCAUUAAAGAGGCUGACUGACUAUCGUCUACCACCCGUCAUUAACACAAGAAAAACUAAAGAAAUGUUACUCCAUAUGGACCUAUUCAUUUACUCAUUAUGCUGUGAGUACACCACAGUUUUAUCAGUUUAAAAAUUUAUAUUUGUGCGUUUUCUCACUGCUUGGCAAGGACAGAUGUGGCCCUGUUUAAAUGUUGUUUGGUUUAAGGAACAGCACACUGAUUUUGUUUUAAAAUA